UACAGAGGGGGGCAAGCGUUUAUUCGGAAUUAUUGGGCGUAAAGCGCGCGCAGGCGGUCCUUUAAGUCUGAUGUGAAAGCCCCCGGCUCAACCGGGGAGGGUCAUUGGAAACUGGAAGGCUUGAGUGCAGAAGAGAAGAGCGGAAUUCCACGUGUAGCGGUGAAAUGCGUAGAGAUGUGGAGGAACACCAGUGGCGAAGGCGGCUCUUUGGUCUGUAACUGACGCUGAGGCGCGAAAGCGUGGGGAGCAAACAGG
rnacentral:rRNA from 1 species